AGCUUUGCGCAGUGGCAGUAUCGUAGCCAAUGAGGUUUAUCUGAGGCACGAUUAUUGCUAAUUGAAAAUUUAUAUCCAAGCUGUGGAAAGCUGUAUCUCAUAGUUUUCUUUCAUUUCAUC
rnacentral:snRNA from 1 species